CCAGGAAAAAGGCCUGGGCUGCGGCCACAGUGGGCGGGGCCCCCAGGCCGGGCCGCCUCUCCAGGACCCCCGGAAGGGGGCUCCUGGAGGCUCCAGGCGGCUCCUCCCCCGGCGCCGCCUUCCCUCCCGGAAGGCCUCGGGGCAGAGCGGUCCCACCUCCUCGCCCAGAACGGAGCCCGCGUUUCCGCAGAGCUGGAACUCCCGGCUCGGGGUCUCUUCCCUCCGCCGUCACUGAAGUGCCCCGGAGCCCGAGGGGAGGGCGGCCUCACUGAGGCUGCCGGCUCUGGAGGGGCCCCGGCGGCCGAAGCCGCGACAGUCCUGGGGACCGCGGGCCGGUUGUUUCAGCAAGUAACUUAAAGACAAAAUGGAAAAACAAGGAGGUUUGUGCCUGAGAUCAUGUUGAGGUGAAACCAGGGAUGGCCACCUUGUGCCAGAAACAGGAAAACAAAUGCUUCUUAUGGAAUCAGAGAAUGUGAGGGCUGGACAAUCCCAGAAAAUGAGAAACACCCAUCCCAUUUUCCAGAUGAGAAAACAGAGGCCCAGCAAGGUGAAAUCCCUCACCCAAGUUGCACCUGUCUCUCCUCCCCACUACAUGGUUCAUGAAAGCAGGACUCUUUCUGUCUUGAUCACUGCUGAACUCCAAACAGGGCCAGGCAUCUAGCAGCUGCUUCAAAGAUUUUGGUUGGGCUUCCCUGGUGGCGCAGUGGUUGAGAAUCUGCCUGCCAAUGCAGGGGACGCGGGUUCGAGCCCUGGUCUGGGAAGAUCCCACAUGCC